rnacentral:hammerhead_ribozyme from 1 species
AAGCGAAACCGCCCGCCCACUUCCAAGGGCGGCGCGGUCGCCCGGCGGUGGUGCGCAGGGCCUGACGAGCAGCCAA